rnacentral:rRNA from 1 species
UCGAAGCCUAGCGGACAGGCCUAAUACAUGCAAGUCGAACGGACCUUGAUCUUUCGGGGAUCUUGGGUUAGUGGCGCACGGGGUGCGUAACGCGUAUGCAACCUACCUUCCACUGGGGGAUAGCCCGCCCGAAAGCGGGAUUAAUACCGCAUAUGACCACUGAGAGGGCAUCCGAUCGUGGUAAAAGCUGAGGCGGUGGAAGAUGGGCAUGCGUGCCAUUAGCUAGUUGGCGGGGUAAAGGCCCACCAAGGCGACGAUGGCUAGGGGUUCUGAGAGGAUGGUCCCCCACACUGGUACUGAGACACGGACCAGACUCCUACGGGAGGCAGCAGUAGGGAAUAUUGGGCAAUGGCCGAGAGGCUGACCCAGCCAUGCCGCGUGCAGGAAGAAGGCCUUCUGGGUUGUAAACUGCUUUUACCAAGGAAGAAAACGCCCCUGCGGGGGUAACUGACGGUACUUGGUGAAUAAGCACCGGCUAACUCCGUG